UUCCUACGGGAGGCAGCAGUGAGGGAUAUUGGUCAAUGGGGGAAACCCUGAACCAGCAACGCCGCGUGAGGGAAGACGGUUUUCGGAUUGUAAACCUCUGUCCUCUGUGAAGAUAAUGACGGUAGCAGAGGAGGAAGCUCCGGCUAACUACGUGCCAGCAGCCGCGGUAAUACGUAGGGAGCGAGCGUUGUCCGGAUUUAUUGGGUUUAAAGGGUGCGCAGGCGGUCUGUUAAGUCAGCGGUCAAAGCCCGGGGCUCAACCCCGGCCCGCCGCUGAAACUGGCAGUCUCUAGUUG
rnacentral:rRNA from 1 species